rfam:Paenibacillus sp. IHB B 3415 contig_044, whole genome shotgun sequence.
GCACCUGACUUUUAAUCAGGGUGUCGAAGGUUCGAGUCCUUCAUGGCUCA